GGGGGGGGGGGGGGGGGGGGGGGGGGGGGGGGGGGGAGGGGGGGGGUGAGUCAGGGAACUGCCCCUCCCCACCCUCCCCGGCAG
rnacentral:miRNA from 12 species